rnacentral:rRNA from 1 species
GACGAACGCUGGCGGCGUGCUUAACACAUGCAAGUCGAACGCUGAAGCUUGGUGCUUGCACUGGGUGGAUGAGUGGCGAACGGGUGAGUAAUACGUGAGUAACCUGCCCUUGACUCUGGGAUAAGCCUGGGAAACUGGGUCUAAUACUAGAUAUGACAUGCCACUGCAUGGUGGUGUGUGGAAAGGGUUUUACUGGUUUUGGAUGGGCUCACGGCCUAUCAGCUUGUUGGUGGGGUAAUGGCCUACCAAGGCGACGACGGGUAGCCGGCCUGAGAGGGUGACCGGCCACACUGGGACUGAGACACGGCCCAGACUCCUACGGGAGGCAGCAGUGGGGAAUAUUGCACAAUGGGCGGAAGCCUGAUGCAGCGACGCCGCGUGAGGGAUGACGGCCUUCGGGUUGUAAACCUCUUUCAGCACGGAAGAAGCGAGAGUGACGGUACGUGCAGAAGAAGCGCCGGCUAACUACGUG